GGUGGAUCAUUUCAGAUGGAACUAAGGCUUCAUAUUUCUUCUUCUCUUCGCAGAAAGAUGCAGAGAGGAAGGAAGCAAGGAGCUUCAUCUCAUUGUCCAAAUCAAAUACCGUUUUCCUCAUAAAUUUUGAUUUGGAAGUCCGGAUUUGAUUCCGUUUUCGCUUACGAAUUUAUGGGGAAGAGUACUACAAAUCUCAGGAACUCCAGUUACCGCGACGGUUGUGUGUAAUCAAGGUGUUGGUAAGGGACACUGCUUGUUUGCUUUGGACUCCAGGUAGGGGAAAUACGGCGGACCUUUACGGAGAUUGACUUUAUUAAAUUUCGUGAAACAUUAUAUUAUUAUUAUCGAUCUUCUUGGUUGAUUAAUGUGAUUUGGCUUGCUAAUUGGAUAAAUAAUGCCCCUGCGUGUUUACUUGUUAUUGGUUAUGGAAUUAUUGAUGAAAUGCUAUUGGUUGAGAAUAUACUGUGGUAUAUGUUAAUCAUUCAUAAUUGGUCAUGUGGUAGGAGUUUUGGUGUUGAGGAAGGAAUUCUGGAAAUGAGGGUAGUUGGAAAUAAUCUUUUGUGUAGUUGAGCCAAACUCUUAGCAGGUACCAGGUCUCAGGUGAGCCCACAGUGCACAGAUUCUUUAAGGGUAAUUCGGGACUGGCGACGAAGGGUUUUGGCAAGAUGACUAACAAAAGGGGAAAUUGGGAUGAUUGAGUUACAUGGGGUUAAUUUGUAUAUUAAAAUAUUCGAACCACCACUGCAGAGGUAAAAUGCACGGUAUGGGACGUGCAGGUCCGCGUGUUUUAUUAUAUGAAUUAACGGGUAGAGAUGAAGAGUAUUGUAUUGCACUCAUGCAUUGUUGAUGAUAAUGAUUUGGUACUUGAUUACAUGAUUU